GACGAACCGUGCGAACGUUAUUCGGAAUCACUGGGCUUAAAGGGCGCGUAGGCGGGCUCCCAAGUCCGCGGUGAAAUCCUCCAGCUUAACUGGAGAAGUGCCGUGGAUACUGGGAGUCUCGAGGAGGGUAGGGGCAUCUGGAACGUUGGGUGGAGCGGUGAAAUGCGUUGAUAUCCAACGGAACUCCGGUGGCGAAGGCGAGGUGCUGGACCCUUUCUGACGCUGAGGCGCGAAAGCCAGGGGAGCGAACGGG
rnacentral:rRNA from 1 species